AUAGCAACUUUGAAAACUAUAGUUCAGUAAAAACCAAGAAAAAGAACAACAAAAGGAACAUGAUAAUCAGUUGGCUUUACAAGGAAAAGAAUGGUUACUUUCAACUUUUUGAAUUUGUUAAUCAUAAUAUUUUGUCAGAGAUUUGUGGCUUUCUUCUUUUUUAGUGAAGGACUGACAUUAAUGGUUGACAAAGGUCAUCAGUUCUCCCACUAAAGAUACGAUAUCCAAAUCAACUUUCAAAUGAUACAUGCAAUUAAUAUUGCUAGUAUGGGAUAUGGAAAUU
rnacentral:lncRNA from 1 species